rnacentral:rRNA from 1 species
UACAGGGGGUGCAAACGUUGCUCGGAAUCAUUGGGCGUAAAGCGCACGUAGGCGGUCUGUUAUGUCGGAUGUGAAAGCCCUCGGCUCAACUGAGGAAGUGCAUCCGAAACUGGCAGGCUAGAGUACUAAAGAGGGUCGCGGAAUUCCCGGUGUAGAGGUGAAAUUCGUAGAUAUCAGGAGGAACACCGGUGGCGAAGGCGGGUCUCUGGGCCGAUACUGACGCUGAGGAGCGAAAGCGUGGGGAGCGAACAGG